UAGGGAAUCUUCCGCAAUGGGCGAAAGCCUGACGGAGCAACGCCGCGUGAGUGAUGAAGGUCUUCGGAUCGUAAAACUCUGUUAUUAGGGAAGAACAAAUGUGUAAGUAACUAUGCACGUCUUGACGGUACCUAAUCAGAAAGCCACGGCUACCUACGUGCCAGCAGCCGCGGUAAUACGUAGGUGGCAAGCGUUAUCCGGCAUUAUUGGUCGUAAAGCGCGCGUAGGCGGUUUUUUAAGUCUGAUGUGAAAGCCCACGGCUCAACCGUAGAGGGACAUUUGAAUCUGGAAAACUUGAGUGCAUAAGAGGAAAGUGGAAUUCCCUGUGUAUCGGUGAAAUGCGCAGAGAUAUGGAGGUACACCAGUGGCGAAGGCGACUUUCUGGUCUGUAACUGACGCUGAUGUGCGAAAGCGUGGGGAUCAAACAGG
rnacentral:rRNA from 1 species